CCCUAAUAGCUCCCCACUUAUAAAGUUCUAAUAUCACAAACAUAUUAUAUACAUUUAUCUCCUUUGGAAGGCCACAAACCACUGUACUAUCAAUAAAACGUUUUCAUCCCAUUGGUGAAAAUAUCACUUGAUUGAAAAUGCAUGUUCUAUUUAACACAGGCAUUUUUAAACAGGGGGUCUAUGAAAUUAGAUAAGAAAAAAAUACUAAUUUUCACUAAGCUGAACUAAAAUUCAACCUUUCUUUCAAUGAUGAAUAUAAGCAACAUACCACAGUGGUAUUAAUAGAACUUGUGACUUUGUCAUCAGUGGAGACCACAGAUAUUUUCAUAUAGUGUUACAAGUUGUUAUGACUUGGAAAUUCUUGUUAUCUGACAGGCUACUAGAUCUUGUUAUUUAUUGUAUUAAUAAAGUAGCUGAUAUUACUAAGUUAAAAAUGUUUUCAUUUUUGAUGACUGUAUUUCAAUGCAAUUUAUUUCCUUGGUCAUCUAUGUAUUUUAUACACUAUGUUGAGAAGGGAUCUAUGGCACAAAAAAGGUUAAGCUCCCUCCCCUAGAAGGAUCCAGCAGUUCCCAGAGUGAUUUACAGCCUGAAUACCAGCUUGCCUUUGCUGUAUACACAAGCUUGCCUCUUCUGUAGCCUCCACCAGCAACAUCCCACUUGACUCUUAAAACAGCAGCAGCUCUGUUUGCUUGUGCAGUAAAAAGUGCUUCUACAUCCAGGCCACCACUGGUAAAUACCGCAACUGUAUUUGCCAAGGAGUAAGAAGAUUCUGUUAUGAACAAUUGCUGGGCAUGCUUAAGUUAACCAAAAAGGAAAAAAAAAAAGCAAAGUUCAGAGGGAUUACACAGCAACUAGUUCUUCCAUUUCUCCACCCCACCCCCACCCCGAAUUUUAGGAAUGUUAUCUUGCAGCAUCUAGUUAUCCAAUAAGUUGGAAGAAUGCAGUAAACCCAGCAGGGGUCUUAGAUUCAAUCACUGCCAAAUGGAUAGAAAAUACUCUUACUAUUGUAUAGGAAGAAAGUUCAUCUACUAGUGGCCAAUCAAAUUCUGGAGACACUGAAAUGCUUAAAAAGUAAAACCUGUAUAUCUUGAUAAAAGCAUUAUGACUCAAGCUUAUCUUUUUUUCAUUCCUACAUUUAAAGAACGACAAUGAGUAGAUUAUCUAAAGCACACAACAUCUUCUACCCUCCCCCAACCCCAGGAUAAUUGCUUACCAAAAAACAAAAGGAAAUUAUGUGCCUUCUUAAGUAUUUAACCAGUUGAAAGAAAACUGCCUCUUUAGCAGCUUAAUUUUAGCAGUCAAAAAGCCUUCAACUCAAUUCAUAGAAGGCAGAUAAGACUUUAAGUUUCCACCUAAUUAAGAUCUAAAAAAGGCAAAGUUUCAAACAGCCUUGAACCAAAAUUCGGGGAUGCUGCUGGAGAGGAAAAAAAGAGUAAAUGGCUCAAAGAAAGUUUCACAGGCGCUAAGGCGUGUGACUUCUGUUUGCUUCCAAGGUUAGGGAAGUGUCCCACUCGUCCCCAACUAGAGAUCAGGCAAGUUUGCAAACUCCAUGAGGGCAGGGGUUUUUGUCGCCUGUCUCCAGAGCCCCCCUGAACAAAUCCUGACACAGACAUACAAUUUGUUGGGGCGGGGGUGGGGGGGGAUUGUGGUGACUGGCGAUGCAGUUCUUAUCUGGAUUUAGUGGCUUUUAAAAAUGUUUAGACAUUUUAAAAAAUAGUCAAAAGUACUGUAGGCUAAAGGUGAUGAGGAAGGGACAACUUCUGGAACUCUUUUCGCCAUCAAUUUUUCCAGGGUAGUACAACCCAGAGAAGCCGACCAAACUCCAACAUUGUUUUAUUUCUGGGACCUCUUCAUCUAAACCGUGUGAAGGCACAUCCCAACAUUUAAGAUGGCAGAGGAGAGGCCACCAAACCCAACCAGCCAAGCACCAAUCACGGCUCCCUUGUCGAAGAUGCCAAAAAGAACAUCUCAUCACAUCACCAACUGACCUAAGGUUAUUUUUAAAAAACCAAUAAAAACAAAACAAAACAAAACAAAACAAAACAAAAAAAACAGUUCCUUGGGCUCUGGGGCGAGGCAGGACAAGACACCAUGGGCCAUCAAGCAGGGCAAGGCACCACGGGCAAAGCCAUUUCAAACAGGUGCUGCAAUUUAAAAUGAGUAAAAACAUGACUAUCACUUUUGGUCUUUAAUAUCUUGAAUUAAAGAUAGCGCACUCGAGUCCCCAGCCUGGUGUCUGGCAGGCAGCACACUGCCAUUUCUGCUAGAUUGCCUCAACUGGCAGCUCAACACCAUCUUGACACAAUAAACACAAAUAAAAACAUUUUGGUAUUUUGAACAAAAUUAAGACUGAUCACAUUCCCAAUUCAUAGUAGCCCUUCUAUAGUUGAAAUUAUCUAAACAGGGCAUUUUAUCACUGCUAUAUAGAGGAGGAACCCAAAAACUCAGAAAAAACAAAAAAACAGAAAACGCCACCAAGCUGGCUUCAAGGUUACACAGCUGAAAGUCACACAGCCACAGUGGAACGCGGAUCCCAUUCUAAAACCUGACUUCCCAGGCAUCAACCUAACACUUCACAUUUUAAAAAAGGAAAUGCUAACUGCCUUCUGCCUCCCAAGAUGGUUCCCCAACCCACAGCCCAGGAGGAAGCUCACUAACAGCAGCACGAAUGACAAAGUAUCAUUUGCUUCUGCACUGCACAUUUUUAUUCAACAAAAGGAGCUGUUUGGCAAAUUGUAGCUUCUCUCCCUAUGGGAAACCCACAUGAAGUCUAACGUAGAAAGUUGACCUGAAACGUUAACUAACGUCAAAAUCCUUCUAAGCCAGCGUAGGUCAUUUUGGUGAGUAAUUGGAAAUAGGAAGUUAUUCGAAACUUGGGAAUCCUAAUCGUUGAUGUUUGUAAUCCAGUUUAGCACAAAGGGCAUUUGAAACUCUUUUGAGAAAAUGCUAAUUUUUCCUGUAUGUAGUGUUAGCCCUGCGACCACCUGCAGAUUUUUUGAUCUGCUAAUUGAUCGCCAGACGUCAUUUUCCUCCCUCAAAAACUGCAUUCUCGAAUGGCUUUGCAAAAUAAGACCAGCUCAAUCUGCAUUCUAAAAAAUUAUGUGAGACAUAUACAUACAUCUAAGUUAGAUAUGUAUGUCUACAUUAUAUACCUAACACAUAUAAUUUUAGGCAGCUCAAAUGCAAACAACCCAAACGCAGCCAUUAAAAACGCACUGCUUGGGAAAACAACCUUCUCUCCCAAGGAGGCAAUUGGAGGCUCUGCAAACACAUUCUAGCCGCCAGGAGUUAUUACCAAGAAUUCCACACUUGGCAAAGAACAGCGGGCACAGACGACGAUCAAGCAGGCGACCGGCACGAAUCCCCUAGGGUACCCAUCCUUGGGGGCGCCCGCGCGCAAGCCGGGUGGGCUGUCCGCG
rnacentral:lncRNA from 1 species